AAAAAUGGCGGACUCGGGGAAGCGAAAACCUUCGGCGUCCAAGGAAACGCUGGAAACCCUUUUAGAGAUUUCAAAACUCCUGAAUACUGGUUUUGAUGCUGAGACUUUAGCAACAUGUGUUCGUCUUUGUGAAAAUGGUGUGAACCCAGAAGCCCUAGUCCUGGUCAUUCAAGAACUGCGUAGGGAAACUGCAGCUGUUAGAGCAGCAGAAGGAUGAGGAAUAUUACCCUUUCUGAGUGGAUGGAGUUGAUUGAAAAAAGAAGACAGUGUGGCUGCAUGUGACUAAACCUGUUGUCAGUGGAUGACUUGUGAAAUAGAUUUUUUUCUCCAUAUUUAUGAAAGCAUGACUUUUACUUGUACUACUCAAAUAAAUAUUUUAAACUUU